rnacentral:lncRNA from 1 species
CUCGCUUUGGGAGAAACCCUACCAUGAACAAUCCUAAGGAGAGACCAACAUGGCAAAGAAGAAAAGCCUCCUGCCAACAAUCAUACGAGUGAUCUUGGAAGUUAAUUAUGCCACCACAGUUGAACAUUGAGAUGGGUGCAGCCUCAGGCAAUGGACGUGACUGCAACCUUGGGACAGACCCUGAACCAAACCACCCAAGACAGUGUUUUGUCAUGUUGUCCAGGCUGGUCUUGGACCCCUGAGCUCAAGCCAUCUGCCCACCUUGGCUCCCCAAAGUACUGGUAUUCCAGGUGUGAGCCACUGGCCCAACCCAG